rnacentral:rRNA from 1 species
AGCAGCCGCGGUAAUUCCAGCUCCAAUAGCGUAUAUUAAAGUUGUUGCAGUUAAAAAGCUCGUAGUUGAAUUUCGGGAUCAGUACGCUGGUCAUGCCUUUGGUAUGCACUGGUGUCACUGGUUUCUCCCUUCUGAAGAUCCGUAAUGUCAUUAAUUUGGUGUCGCGGGGAAUCAGGACUGUUACUUUGAAAAAUUAGAGUGUUUAAAGCAGGCUCACGCUUGAAUACAUUAGCAUGGAAUAAUGAAAUAGGACGUUUGACCCUAUUUUGUUGGUUUCUAGGAUCGACGUAAUGAUUAAUAGGGAUAGUUGGGGGCAUUAGUAUUCAAUUGUCAGAGGUGAAAUUCUUGGAUUUAUUGAAGACUAACUACUGCGAAAGCAUUUGCCAAGGAUGUUUUCAUUAAUCAAGAACGAAAGUUAGGGGAUCGAAGACGAUCAGAUACCGUCGUAGUCUUAACCAUAAACUAUGCCGACUAGGGAUCGGAUGAUGUUAAUUUUAUAAUGA